rnacentral:tmRNA from 1 species
GGGGGCGAUCCUGGUUUCGACGGGGGUUGCAAAGCGGAUGCGGGCAUACCGGGGUCUCAGAUACCCGUAAAACACUGAAAACUUAUAGUCGCAAACGACGAAACUUUCGCACUGGCCGCUUAAGGCCUGCCGUUGCAACAGCUGGUCAAUGGGCUGUGUGGGGUAAAACCCACGGCAACGUCACUUACAUUGACUGGUUUUCUGUCGGGUUACUUGGCAGAAAAUAAGAUUUAAGGUAACUGGUUUUCAGGCAGCCUGUCGAUCGGCGGUUUGCAAAACGAGAUUCAAAUUGAUCCGACUAAGUAUGUAGAACGCUUCGUAGAGGAUUUCCGGACGCGGGUUCGAUUCCCGCCGCCUCCACCA